ensembl:rRNA 5S_rRNA 5S ribosomal RNA
AGCCACAGCCAUAUCACCCUGCAGCCCAAGAGUUGUUACUCACUAAAGCCAAGCUGGGCUGAGCCUGGUCAGUAUCUGGAUGGGAGACCACAUAGGAAAGCUAGGUUGCUGUUGGAA